AGGGGAUCGUAAGACCUUGCGCUGAUGGAUGAGCCGAAGUCGGAUUAGCUAGUUGGUGAGGUAACGGCUCACCAAGGCGACGAUCCGUAGCUGGUCUGAGAGGACGACCAGCCACACUGGGACUGAGACACGGCCCAGACUCCUACGGGAGGCAGCAGUGGGGAAUAUUGGACAAUGGGGGCAACCCUGAUCCAGCGACGCCGCGUGUGUGAAGAAGGCCUGCGGGUUGUAAAGCACUUUUAGUGGGGAUGAAAUGUGCAGGGUUAAUACCUCUGCAUUUUGACCUAACCCACAGAAAAAGCACCGGCUAACUCUGUGCCAGCAGCCGCGGUAAUACAGAGGGUGCAAGCGUUAAUCGGAAUUACUGGGCGUAAAGCGUGCGCAGACGGUUACAUAAGUCGGGUGUGAAAGCCCCGGGCUCAACCUGGGAAUUGCAUUCGAGACUGUGUAGCUAGGGUACGGAAGAGGGAAGCGGAAUUUCAGGUGUAGCGGUGAAAUGCGUAGAUAUCUGAAGGAACACCAGUGGCGAAAGCGG
rnacentral:rRNA from 1 species